CUCGCUUAUGCGAAUGCGAACAUUUGACAGUUGAGUUGAAUACACAUGUUCUUAUGAGAUGAGCUACAUAGCUUUCGCAUGUUUUCGCAACCAACGCUCCGAAAUUCGAACUCGGAUUCGAAGACGAACAGAAGUUGAAAAUUUUCAACUUUCAUGCGCUAAGACAGCAACCUUCACAUUCUUAAAAAUAGCAACCAACAUUAUGUUACUUACAAUCUUGUAUUUUUUAAUUGUUUAAGCUCGUUUUCUUCGAUACAAUAUAAGUAUUUUGUGAAAUAUAAUAUUUAUUAAUUUAUUAAUAAUAUAUUUAUCAAAUAUUUAAAGUUAUUUUUAAAGAUAAGGGGUGAUAAAGUUUUAAUAUACAAGGUAGGCAGUUUAAAUUUUCCUUCCGUUGCUUAAUUCAAGGUAUUCUAUGAACACUGCUAAUAAAAAUCACUAAAAAUUUAAAAUCAUUGUCCAUGUUAUUUAGUUCGUUUUCAAAUUCGCAAAUAAAAAUUGAGUCUGUGUAUCACCUUGUGGACGCAUUCAAAAGCGCUUUUAUGGAGCGGCUCGAAAUAUACGCAGUCAAGCGCACUUUUAUGCUUUCGCAUUCGCAUUCGCAUACGCGAACUAUGUAGUUUCAGCUUAAUGAUCUCAGUUCUCUCAUGCUGUGGUGUAUUAUUUUUCUUUCGAAGUGGCGAGUUUUCGAUGUUCCCUUAUAUUUUAGCACACAAAAAGUUGCGAGUGAACAUUUGCUCCUUCUUAUUAUUAUACGUUCUUUGCUUAAUCCGAGGUAUUCUAUGUACACUGCUUAUAAAAAUCACUGAAAAUUGAAAAUCGCCUUCCAUGAUAUUUAGUUCAAUUUCAAACUCACAAAUAAAAAAUGUGUAUGUGUAUCACCUUGUACACAGCUGUCAACGCAUUCAAAAGCGCAAUUAUGGAGGUGCUCGAAAUAUACGCAGUCAAGCGCAUUUUUUCGCUUCCGCACUCAUUGGAAAAGAAAAUUUAGAGUGAAUGAAUAUUAAGAAGUAGAAAAAGGAUUAUGCCAAUGGAGGCAGAUGGAUAUUUGCAAACUUCGGAAGAAACAUUUAAGUUUAGUAAAACAAUAGCGACUCCAGACAGACGACUCAUAGAAACAGAUUGCAUUAAUAUUCACCAACACUGACAUAAUAAUAAUAACAACGUAAUGGAUGCUUAUGGUGAUAACAAUCAACAGAAUUCGCAACAACAAAGUGGAGACAAAGUAUUACUCCCAUGUAAGAAGGUAGCUAUAUUUCCUACCUGCAGCUCAUCAACUUAUACAACGUAUCGUAUCGAACUCAAAUACGCCGUAUGAUGGAGAAGCACUCGUAUUUCUUCGGCCAUUGUGUCAGGAAGUAACUAAAAUCGUGCACCUGGAAAUACAACACAAAAUAUGCUACAAAAACAAAUAAUAUUGAAAUUGCGAAUAUAGAUAUUGUAAUUACAAUGAUCCCCGCUUAAGUGCCUUUCAAGCCUAAGUAACCAUAUUUAGCGACAUCGUUAAAUUUUCUCUAAAUUUACAUAUAAAAUUCCCCGCUUAAGAGCGUCCGCUUAAAUGCUUGUAAUAUUUAAGCCACAAAUACCAAAUUGUUUGCAAUUUUCUUCCUUUAAGUGCCUUUUCAUAUUUUUGACAUUUAAUGCGCUGAAAAUUGUCAAAAGGAAAGCUUAUAGUACAUAGUUUUGUAAUGUUUUUUUACAUAUUUAUUGUUAUUAAUAAGUAUGUUUGUUAUUAAU